rnacentral:rRNA from 1 species
GGGUUGUGAGGUUAAGCGACUAAGCGUACACGGUGGAUGCCCUGGCAGUCAGAGGCGAUGAAGGACGUGCUAAUCUGCGAUAAGCGUCGGUGAGGUGAUAUGAACCGUUAUAACCGGCGAUUUCCGAAUGGGGAAACCCAGUGUGUUUCGACACACUAUCAUUAACUGAAUCCAUAGGUUAAUGAGGCGAACCGGGGGAACUGAAACAUCUAAGUACCCCGAGGAAAAGAAAUCAACCGAGAUUCCCCCAGUAGCGGCGAGCGAACGGGGAGGAGCCCAGAGCCUGAAUCAGUGUGUGUGUUAGUGGAAGCGUCUGGAAAGGCGCGCGAUACAGGGUGACAGCCCCGUACACAAAAAUGCACAUAUUGUGAGCUCGAUGAGUAGGGCGGGACACGUGGUAUCCUGUCUGAAUAUGGGGGGACCAUCCUCCAAGGCUAAAUACUCCUGACUGACCGAUAGUGAACCAGUACCGUGAGGGAAAGGCGAAAAGAACCCCGGCGAGGGGAGUGAAAAAGAACCUGAAACCGUGUACGUACAAGCAGUGGGAGCCUCUUAAUGGGGUGACUGCGUACCUUUUGUAUAAUGGGUCAGCGACUUAUAUUCUGUAGCAAGGUUAACCGAAUAGGGGAGCCGAAGGGAAACCGAGUCUUAACUGGGCGUUAAGUUGCAGGGUAUAGACCCGAAACCCGGUGAUCUAGCCAUGGGCAGGUUGAAGGUUGGGUAACACUAACUGGAGGACCGAACCGACUAAUGUUGAAAAAUUAGCGGAUGACUUGUGGCUGGGGGUGAAAGGCCAAUCAAACCGGGAGAUAGCUGGUUCUCCCCGAAAGCUAUUUAGGUAGCGCCUCGUGAAUUCAUCUCCGGGGGUAGAGCACUGUUUCGGCAAGGGGGUCAUCCCGACUUACCAACCCGAUGCAAACUGCGAAUACCGGAGAAUGUUAUCACGGGAGACACACGGCGGGUGCUAACGUCCGUCGUGAAGAGGGAAACAACCCAGACCGCCAGCUAAGGUCCCAAAGUCAUGGUUAAGUGGGAAACGAUGUGGGAAGGCCCAGACAGCCAGGAUGUUGGCUUAGAAGCAGCCAUCAUUUAAAGAAAGCGUAAUAGCUCACUGGUCGAGUCGGCCUGCGCGGAAGAUGUAACGGGGCUAAACCAUGCACCGAAGCUGCGGCAGCGACGCUUAUGCGUUGUUGGGUAGGGGAGCGUUCUGUAAGCCUGUGAAGGUGGCCUGUGAGGGUUGCUGGAGGUAUCAGAAGUGCGAAUGCUGACAUAAGUAACGAUAAAGCGGGUGAAAAGCCCGCUCGCCGGAAGACCAAGGGUUCCUGUCCAACGUUA